AUGGUGGAGGAUGAUGGCUCUGGCUUGCCGAUAGUGGUGGAUGAUGUCAUUCACAAGGCCAUCGUCGAGGUAAACGAGGAAGGGACUGAAGCCGCCGCUGGUCUUGGAUGCACAAUGCCAUCACCUCCAACACCUCCACAUGUGGAUUUCAUCGCCGACCAUCCAUUUGCCUACUACAUAGUGGAGGAGGCGACCGGAGCAGUUGUCUUUGCGGGGCACGUCCUCGACCCUACAAGGAGUAAUAAGUAA
rnacentral:rRNA from 1 species